rnacentral:rRNA from 1 species
GACGAACGCUGGCGGCGUGCUUAACACAUGCAAGUCGAACGAAGAGCGAUGGAAGCUUGCUUCUCUCAAUCUUAGUGGCGCACGGGUGAGUAACGCGUAAUCAACCUGCCCUUCAGAGGGGGACAACAGUUGGAAACGACUGCUAAUACCGCAUACGAUCUAAUCUCGGCAUCGAGGAUAGAUGAAAGGUGGCCUCUACAUGUAAGCUAUCACUGAAGGAGGGGAUUGCGUCUGAUUAGCUAGUUGGAGGGGUAACGGCCCACCAAGGCGAUGAUCAGUAGCCGGUCUGAGAGGAUGAACGGCCACAUUGGGACUGAGACACGGCCCAGACUCCUACGGGAGGCAGCAGUGGGGAAUCUUCCGCAAUGGACGAAAGUCUGACGGAGCAACGCCGCGUGAGUGAUGACGGCCUUCGGGUUGUAAAGCUCUGUUAAUCGGGACGAAAGGCCUUCUUGCGAAUAGUGAGAAGGAUUGACGGUACCGGAAGAGAAAGCCACGGCUAACUACGUG